rnacentral:lncRNA from 1 species
UCAUUACUAGUAAAGAUGCAUGAUAGUAGUUUAAUUCCAGCUCAAUUAUAUCUUGUUUUUCUUACUACUAUUUUACUAUCAUUACCUCUAGUAGAUUUAGGCUUCGUUUGGGAUUGCGGGAAGGUUGCGUUACGUGCGGUGAGAAAAUAUAUUGGAAAAAUAUCCUGUUUGUUUCCGUACGUAAUAUUACAUUCCUCAUAUCGCGAUGAGUCAGUUACGAUAUAUUUUCUGCGGUCCCACCGGAAAAUGCAGAAGCAUAUUCCUAUAUGCUUUUUUCUCAACUCCAUUUUAUCUAAUAGCGUUAGAUAGACCUCAAUACCAAACUAAGCCUUAGUAGUGUAGGUCGUCGUUGUCGUCGAUUGUACCAACCGAGAACUACUGGUUAGUAGCUCUCACGCCUUCUCUUUAUUUUUUUUUCUUUCAGAGUCCUUAGUGCUAGUGUCUAAUUGAGGUAAAGGGAUCACGAGCUAGUUAGCGUCUCCUACCAGAGUUGAUUGUGUUGGCUUAAAUGGGCCAGCAUCCUGCCCUGUGGGUCGAGUCAUGUUCGAAAUGGUGUGAGGCUGGUUGGGUCGAGUCACAAUCGAGAUCCGUGGGUACUGUAUCUAUACGCUUUAAGUGAAUUGGUUGCGUAUUUCUAACAACUCGAGCUUUUGGGAUUAAUGGUUAGCGCCAACGAUCUGACAAGUGAUAUCAGAGCCAGAGGUCACGGGUUCGAUUCCCGCAUGCUGCAAAUGUGUGCAGGUGCUAGAGGGGGGAUUGUUGGCUUAAAUGGGCCUGCAUCCUGCCCUGUGGGUCGAGUCAUGUUCGAAAUGGUGUGAGGCUGGUUGGGUCGAGUUACAAUCGAGACCCGUGGGCGCUGUAUCUAUACGCUUUAAGUAAAUUGGUUGCGUAUUUCUAACAGCUCGAGCUUUUGGGAUUAAUGGUUAGUGCCAACGAUCUGACAAGUGAUAUCAGAGCCAGAGGUCACGGGUUCAAUUCCCGCAUGCUGCAAAUGUGUGCAGGUACUGAAGGGGGGAUUGUUGGCUUAAAUAGGCCAGUAUCCUGCCCUGUGGCGGAAGGCCAUGUUGGGUCGAGACAUGUUCGAAAUAGCGUGAGGCUGGUUGAGCCGAGUCACAAUCGAGACCCGUGGGUGCUUGAGUUUUUGGGAUUAAUGGUUAGCGCCAACAAUCCGACAGAUUAGCCUAGAGGACCUCCGACAGAUGUUUAUUAUUUUUGUAUAGCAAGUUGUAAUGUAUAGACUAGCGAGGCCGGUGGAUGUUGUAUUUACAGUUUAUUUAGGAGUUGUUUGGAUGUUACAUGUACAAUGAUUGUUAUAUUUCUAUAGAUUUUCAUAGACUAUUUAUUUGUAGACUUUUAUUGCAUGUUGUGCUUGUAUGUAUAUAUAUAUAUAUAUAUAUAUAUAUAGAAUUAGGCUACUAUACUAUCAAUAGUACCGAGCUCCGGUACUAUAGUGUUUGUUUUCGAUCUUAGGGCGUUCAAAUCAACAAUCCACACCGUUAAAUAUGAUCUAGGGUAUAUGAAUUUCUUAGGAAUAAAAUUUUAGUUUUUUUCGAUAUCGUUUACUUAGUAAAUAAAUUAGAUCAAAAUAGACGGUGAAAAUUAAAUAAUCUUUAAAAUUUGAGCAUAGGACUUUUAAAUUCAAGAUCAAGAAUGUUAAUCUUAAUCUAUAUAGUUUAAAGUAUUUUCUAUCAAAAUUUGAAGAAAUUUAGAUUCUUCUACACCGUUAAACUCCAAACUCGUCAUAAUAGCCAUUGAAAAUUGACAAUUUUAAAAUAGUUUGAUCAUAAAGUAAACUAUGUCGAAAAAAUAUAAAAUUUUAUUUCUAGAAACUUUAAAUACCCUAGAUCAGUUUUAACGGUGUGGAUCAUUGAUUUGAACGCUCUAAGAUCGAAAACCAACAUUAUAGUACCGGAGCUCGGUACUAUAGAUAGUAUAGUAGCCUAGCUCUCUCUCUCUCUCUCUCUCUAUAUAUAUAUAUAUAUUGAGAAAUAGGUAGCACGCUACUCGCUUCAUUUAUUUUAUUUAGAAAUAAACUUAGUUAGAAAUGUGAAUCAACUAGGAUUCGACCUUGGAACCUCGGGUACCAACCACCAAGCCCUUUGCCACUUGCUGUAGGGACAGUUGGUUGUGUGCUUGUAUAUGUUGUUUGUGAACACUUUGUAUAUAUGUAUGGGAU